GUUAAGCGACUAAGCGUACACGGUGGAUGCCCUGGCAGUCAGAGGCGAUGAAGGACGUGCUAAUCUGCGAUAAGCGUCGGUAAGGUGAUAUGAACCGUUAUAACCGGCGAUUUCCGAAUGGGGAAACCCAGUGUGUUUCGACACACUAUCAUUAACUGAAUCCAUAGGUUAAUGAGGCGAACCGGGGGAACUGAAACAUCUAAGUACCCCGAGGAAAAGAAAUCAACCGAGAUUCCCCCAGUAGCGGCGAGCGAACGGGGAGCAGCCCAGAGCCUGAAUCAGUGUGUGUGUUAGUGGAAGCGUCUGGAAAGGCGCGCGAUACAGGGUGACAGCCCCGUACACAAAAAUGCACAUGCUGUGAGCUCGAUGAGUAGGGCGGGACACGUGGUAUCCUGUCUGAAUAUGGGGGGACCAUCCUCCAAGGCUAAAUACUCCUGACUGACCGAUAGUGAACCAGUACCGUGAGGGAAAGGCGAAAAGAACCCCGGCGAGGGGAGUGAAAAAGAACCUGAAACCGUGUACGUACAAGCAGUGGGAGCCUCUUUUAUGGGGUGACUGCGUACCUUUUGUAUAAUGGGUCAGCGACUUAUAUUCUGUAGCAAGGUUAACCGAAUAGGGGAGCCGAAGGGAAACCGAGUCUUAACUGGGCGUUAAGUUGCAGGGUAUAGACCCGAAACCCGGUGAUCUAGCCAUGGGCAGGUUGAAGGUUGGGUAACACUAACUGGAGGACCGAACCGACUAAUGUUGAAAAAUUAGCGGAUGACUUGUGGCUGGGGGUGAAAGGCCAAUCAAACCGGGAGAUAGCUGGUUCUCCCCGAAAGCUAUUUAGGUAGCGCCUCGUGAAUUCAUCUCCGGGGGUAGAGCACUGUUUCGGCAAGGGGGUCAUCCCGACUUACCAACCCGAUGCAAACUGCGAAUACCGGAGAAUGUUAUCACGGGAGACACACGGCGGGUGCUAACGUCCGUCGUGAAGAGGGAAACAACCCAGACCGCCAGCUAAGGUCCCAAAGUCAUGGUUAAGUGGGAAACGAUGUGGGAAGGCCCAGACAGCCAGGAUGUUGGCUUAGAAGCAGCCAUCAUUUAAAGAAAGCGUAAUAGCUCACUGGUCGAGUCGGCCUGCGCGGAAGAUGUAACGGGGCUAAACCAUGCACCGAAGCUGCGGCAGCGACGCUUAUGCGUUGUUGGGUAGGGGAGCGUUCUGUAAGCCUGUGAAGGUGUGCUGUGAGGCAUGCUGGAGGUAUCAGAAGUGCGAAUGCUGACAUAAGUAACGAUAAAGCGGGUGAAAAGCCCGCUCGCCGGAAGACCAAGGGUUCCUGUCCAACGUUAAUCGGGGCAGGGUGAGUCGACCCCUAAGGCGAGGCCGAAAGGCGUAGUCGAUGGGAAACAGGUUAAUAUUCCUGUACUUGGUGUUACUGCGAAGGGGGGACGGAGAAGGCUAUGUUGGCCGGGCGACGGUUGUCCCGGUUUAAGCGUGUAGGCUGGUUUUCCAGGCAAAUCCGGAAAAUCAAGGCUGAGGCGUGAUGACGAGGCACUACGGUGCUGAAGCAACAAAUGCCCUGCUUCCAGGAAAAGCCUCUAAGCAUCAGGUAACAUCAAAUCGUACCCCAAACCGACACAGGUGGUCAGGUAGAGAAUACCAAGGCGCUUGAGAGAACUCGGGUGAAGGAACUAGGCAAAAUGGUGCCGUAACUUCGGGAGAAGGCACGCUGAUAUGUAGGUGAAGCGACUUGCUCGUGGAGCUGAAAUCAGUCGAAGAUACCAGCUGGCUGCAACUGUUUAUUAAAAACACAGCACUGUGCAAACACGAAAGUGGACGUAUACGGUGUGACGCCUGCCCGGUGC
rnacentral:rRNA from 1 species